GAUGAACGCUGGCGGCGCGCCUAACACAUGCAAGUCGAACGGCAUCCCUCCUCGGAGGGAAGCGAGUGGCGAACGGCUGAGUAACACGUGGAGAACCUGCCCCCUCCCCCGGGAUAGCCGCCCGAAAGGACGGGUAAUACCGGAUACCCCGGGGUGCCGCAUGGCACCCCGGCUAAAGCCCCGACGGGAGGGGAUGGCUCCGCGGCCCAUCAGGUAGACGGCGGGGUGACGGCCCACCGUGCCGACAACGGGUAGCCGGGUUGAGAGACCGACCGGCCAGAUGGGGACUGAGACACGGCCCAGACUCCUACGGGAGGCAGCAGUGGGGAAUCUUGCGCAAUGGGGGGAACCCUGACGCAGCGACGCCGCGUGCGGGACGGAGGCCUUCGGGUCGUAAACCGCUUUCAGCAGGGAAGAGUCAAGACUGUACCUGCAGAAGAAGCCCCGGCUAACUACGUG
rnacentral:rRNA from 1 species